rnacentral:rRNA from 1 species
GUGGGGAAUAUUGGACAAUGGGCGCAAGCCUGAUCCAGCCAUGCCGCGUGAGUGAUGAAGGCCCUAGGGUUGUAAAGCUCUUUCAGUGGGGACGAUAAUGACGGUACCCACAGAAGAAGCCCCGGCUAACUUCGUGCCAGCAGCCGCGGUAAUACGAAGGGGGCUAGCGUUGUUCGGAUUUACUGGGCGUAAAGCGCACGUAGGCGGAUCGUUAAGUCGAGGGUGAAAUCCUGGAGCUCAACUCCAGAACUGCCUUCGAUACUGGCGAUCUUGAGUCCGGAAGAGGUGAGUGGAACUCCUAGUGUAGAGGUGGAAUUCGUAGAUAUUAGGAAGAACACCAGUGGCGAAGGCGGCUCACUGGUCCGGUACUGACGCUGAGGUGCGAAAGCGUGGGGAGCAAACAGGAUUAGAUACCCCAGUAGUCC